AGAGUUUGAUCCUGGCUCAGGAUGAACGCUGGCGAUGUGUCUAAGGCAUGCAAGUCGAAAGCUGGUAGCAAUACCGGCUUGGCAAACGGGAGAGUAACGCAUUGGUAACUUACCUCGAAGACGGGAAUAACCCACCGAAAGGUGGAAUAAUACCCGAUGGUCGUGGGGGGACAUAAGUCAUUCCCACGUAAAGGCUCCGACGCUUCGAGAGAGACCUAUGUUCUAUCAGCUUGUUGGUGAGGUAAAAGCUCACCAAGGCUACGACGGAUAGCGGGUGUGAGAGCAUGACCCGUCUCACUGGGACUGAGAUACUGCCCAGACUCCUACGGGAGGCUGCAGUCAAGAAUAUUCCUCAAUGGCCGAAAGGCUGAAGGAGCGACAUCGCGUGCAGGAAGAAGCCCCUCGGGGUGUAAACUGCUUUUAUUUGGGAAGAACUAUGACGGUACCAAAUGAAUAAGGGGUUGCUAAACUCGUGCCAGCAGCAGCGGUAAUACGAGUACCCCAAGCGUUAUCCGGAUUUAUUGGGCGUAAAGCGUUCGUAGGCGGUUUGUAACAUCUCUUGUUAAAUCCCAAGGCUCAACCUUGGGGCUGCAGGAGAUAUGGAUAAACUAGAGACUGGAAGAGGCAAGCGGAAUUGCUGGUGUAGGGGUUAAAUCCGUUAAUAUCAGCAGGAACACCAAAAGCGAAGGCAGCUUGCUAGGACAGUUCUGACGCUCAGGAACGAAAGCGUGGGGAGCGAAUGGGAUUAGAUACCCCAGUAGUCCACGCCGUAAACGAUGGAUGCUGAGCAUCGGGAGUUUCGACCCUCUCGGUGCUGCCUACCUAAGUUAACACCUUAAGCAUCCCGCCUGGGGAGUACGGUCGCAAGACUAAAACUCAAAGGAAUUGACGGG
rnacentral:rRNA from 1 species